ensembl:lncRNA
CUUGUGGGAACGAGGACUCUGCCGCCAAACCGCCCACAAACGUCCAAACCACGGUCCCUUAUUGUGUCCACGGUUCUUGUCUCACAUGACCGCCCGCCCCGAGGACCUCAGGCCUCCUUGUGUCCCGAGCUCCGGGUCCAGACCGCUGCCCCCCCCUCGGGAGAAGACGGCGGUAACGCACGCCCUCGCUGCACCGAAGACACAAACGCUGGACGGUUUCUUCCGUCUCCAUCCAGACGGGAGAAGGAAAAGUGCGCCGAUGGCGGGAAGGCGCUCUGCUGCUGUUGUUGUUCCCUGUCCUCCACCCUCCGCUGCCCCACCGCCACGCACCGCCAACCCAACACCGCCCCGCCAAAACUCCCCGCACGGCGACUUCGAGAGGCGGCGAAGAAGCCGGUCGGCAUCUCCCUGCGACGAGCCACCUGCCCCGGGGGGGGGCGUUGAAGUCCGUGAGACGGCUCCGCGACCCGCCGCCGCGUCCCCCCACCCGGGCUGCCGGCUGCCUGCGGAGCCGAAUGGAUCGGAAGCGCCACCGCCGCCGGCGGCCUCCUCCUCCUCCUCCAUCUCACACGGGUCGCUCUCAGAUUUCAGCCGCCCACCGUCCAGCCGGUUCAGCCGCAGCACCGACCUCGCCAGCGGCCGGAGCAGCGUCCUGUCCGGCGCAGAUCUCGGAGACUCGGAGCCAGGAGGCGGCGUUUGCUCCUCACCGCUCCAGCCUCGCCCGGUGACGGGGUCACCCUCGGCUCCUCGCCCUCCGCCGGCAUCCCACCCUCGCCAACCAUCCGCCGAUGCUUCGGCCACCCCUCUCCUCUACGAACCGCUAUUUGGGCAAACCCGACCCCUCUCGCCGCCGUCGACGUCAGGUGGGCUUCGUCAAUCAGAUAACCCUCCGAGCAGGAGCGAAAGCCCCGAUGCGACAAAGUAUCUCCAACCAGUUCCAUCAGAAGCUCCUGGUCCCCACCCAUCCAUGGCCUCCGACCGCGGCCUCGUCGGCCUGGCUUUCCCCUCCGCCACCUGGUCCUCCUGCCCGAGUCCGCAGAGGACCACUCCCCGCUCCUCGGGGUCAGGACCGGCUCCGACCCCUCCUGCGUCGGCGCCCCGUCUGGAGUCUCGUCGCUGGUCCCCGCUGCCUCCCAUCUCCCCUGUCGGAGGACGCUGUGGCACCGCAGCAUCCCGCUACUCCGAGCUCAGCUGCACUCAGUCCCGCGCGUUCGAUGAGCUGGAGGCCAUCGCCCCUCGCUCGCUGUCCUCCCCGUCUCUGGACCGGCUGUCGGACUCCUCCGGGUGCCCUUCACCUGACACAGAGCUGUCUCCGGGCCUGGCGGCGCUGACGGUGGGCUGUGACUCCGGGACCCUGGGCUCUCUGUCCCGGGUGCAGCUGCUCCUCCUGGACCGGCCGCAGCCCGACACCCGGCCGGGUCUGUUCGGCCCGGAAGAGGAGCUCUCGCCGGUGCAAGACUGGCCUCGUCUCGCGAUGCAACAUGAAGGUACCGUGCACAAAUAGACGUUUGAAUGAAAGAGAAGUCCCACAGCAUCAAAUCAAGCAACAGAUUUCACCGAAACACAAUUAAACCCGUUGAAUGGGGCUCCGACAUCCCGACCCGCACACUCCGCUCUGCAUCUCCCUCGCUGAGAGCAAAACACUCCACCAGAUCACGACUCUCCUGAAUGGUGCAACGAGCUCUCAGAAGACACCAGGACCUGCUGAGGGCCUUCACAUCUUCAGACUAGACUCUUUGGGGUUUGCAUCCUUAUGGUUGAAAUGCACUCAUUAACCAAUGUCGGUCUCCUGAGCAAAACGGGAGACUCCAAAUGAAUUGAAAGGAAGUGCCUUUUUUUAAGCUUCUUAAUUUUGUCUAAAAUGAUCGAAAGUGUCGGUAUCCGUGGUCACGUGAAGUGAUUAUUCUGUGUUUCCUCAAGGCUAGCGUCAGUUCACUGAGCCUCCUGCUCUGACAAAUCUUUUUGACAGCUCAAUUGAGAUAAGCAAAUACCGUCAUUUUAACCGGCAGCAGGUGUCUGUGUAUGUGUGUGUGUGUGUGUGU